rnacentral:rRNA from 1 species
GAUGAACGCUGGCGGCGUGCCUAAUACAUGCAAGUCGAGCGAAGCGGGGACGGGUGAGUAACACGUGGAUAACCUCCUAUAAGACUGGGCUAACUUCGGGAAACCGGAGCUAAACCGGAUACUUAUCUAUGGAUCCGCGCUGCAUUAGCUAGGUGGUAAGGUAACUGAUUACCAAGGCAACGAUGCAUAGCAGACCGGAGAGGGUGAUCGGACACACUGGAACUGAUCCACGGUCCAGACUCCGACGGGAGGCAGCAGUAGGGAAUCUUACGCAAUGGGCGAAAGCCUGACGGAGCAACGCCGCGUGAGUGAUGAAGGUCUUCGGAUCGUAAAACUCUGUUAUUAGGGAAGCGGUACCUAAUCAGAAAGCCACGGCUAACUACGUGCUAGCAGCCGCGGUAAUUC